GAUGGCAAAGAGCGCUUGGGCGGCUCAGUGCUGGGGCAGAUCCCCUUCCUGCAGAACUGCGAGGACGAAGACAGCGACGAGGACGAUGAGCUGGACAGCGUGCAGCACAAGAAGCAGCGUGUGAAGCUCCCAUCCAAGGCUCUGGUGCCUGAAAUGGAAGACGAGGAUGAGGAAGACGACUCUGAGGAUGCUAUCAAUGAGUUUGAUUUCCUGGGCUCAGGAGAGGAUGGGGAAGGGGCUCCAGACCCUCGGCGGUGCACUGUGGAUGGGAGCCCCCAUGAGCUGGAAAGCCGUCGGGUCAAACUCCAAGGCAUUCUGGCUGACCUGCGGGAUGUGGAUGGGCUGCCCCCAAAAGUGACUGGCCCGCCUCCUGGCACACCCCAGCCCCGGCCACAUGAAGGUUCCUUUGGCUUCUCCUCAGACGUCUUCAUCAUGGACACUAUCGGGGGCGGGGAGGUGAGCCUGGGGGACUUGGCAGAUCUCACCGUCACCAAUGACAACGACCUCAGCUGCGAUCUGUCUGACAGCAAAGAUGCUUUUAAGAAGACGUGGAACCCCAAGUUCACCCUGCGCUCGCACUACGACGGCAUUCGUUCCCUGGCCUUCCACCACAGCCAGUCGGCUCUGCUCACCGCCUCCGAGGAUGGCACGCUCAAGCUCUGGAACCUGCAGAAGGCGGUCACGGCCAAGAAGAAUGCGGCGCUAGAUGUGGAACCUAUACAUGCUUUCCGGGCUCACAGGGGCCCAGUGUUGGCUGUGGCUAUGGGCAGCAACAGUGAAUACUGCUACAGUGGCGGGGCGGAUGCCUGCAUCCAUAGUUGGAAGAUUCCAGACCUCAGCAUGGAUCCCUAUGAUGGCUACGACCCAAGCGUGCUGAGCCACGUCCUGGAGGGCCACGGGGACGCCGUGUGGGGCCUGGCCUUCAGUCCCACCUCCCAGCGCCUGGCCUCCUGCUCUGCUGAUGGCACCGUCCGCAUCUGGGACCCCAGCAGCAGCAGCCCGGCCUGCCUCUGCACCUUCCCCACAGCCAGCGAGCACGGGAUCCCCACCUCAGUGGCCUUCACCAGCACCGAGCCUGCCCACAUCGUGGCCUCCUUCCGCUCUGGCGACACCGUCUUGUAUGACAUGGAGGUUGGCAGUGCCCUCCUCACGCUGGAGUCCCGGGGCAGCAGCGGUCCAACCCAGAUCAACCAAGUGGUGAGUCAUCCAAACCAGCCUCUCACCAUCACCGCCCAUGACGACAGGGGCAUCCGCUUCCUGGACAAUCGGACAGGUGAGGCCUAGCCCCUUGUGCUCGUGGUGGGCGGGGAGGGCCAGAGGCAGGCAGCAGAGAUGCUUGCGUCCCUGUGGGAGGCUCUGGGAGUCUCUCCUCCAGUCCUUUCACUCUCUCAGGCGAGGCCCAGAGUGGGAGGGGAACCUGCCACCCGCCCUUCUCGCCUCAGGUAAGCCGGUGCACUCCAUGGUUGCACACCUGGACGCAGUCACCUGCCUAGCCGUGGACCCCAACGGCGCAUUCCUGAUGUCAGGAAGCCAUGACUGCUCCCUGCGUCUCUGGAGCCUGGACAACAAAACGUGCGUGCAGGAGAUCACGGCCCACCGCAA
rnacentral:sRNA from 1 species